AUAUUCCAGUGCACGGAUGGACCGCGUCGUGUUUGUCCAGUCAUCUGUCGAUGGACAUUUAAUGGGUCGUCUCCACCUUUCCGCGACCCGAGGUCCCGCCGCUCAGAACAGGCGCGCACAAGUUUUUGUUGGAACACCUGUCGGCAACGCUUUGGGGGCUAUGAAAGCCAGACUGUUGGAGCCGGUCCCCGGGGACGGACAGUUACGUCGUCAGCAUUUUCCCUCCUGCUUUCUGCAGACGACACUGUUCCACGCGUCCUUUCCAGCCCCGCGCCUCCGGAAGGCUUUCCUUCUCUGAGCGCGUCAGUUUUCCUGCCCGGAACGUGGGGUUCAUGUUCCUUCUCACCCCGUACGACGGUGGGAGAAGUGAAUGUGGAGACUGAUAAAGGGCUUGGAAAGGGGCCAGGUACACAUUGUUCACUGAACAAGCCCUUCCUGCAGGUGAGGAAACAAUCCGCGAGAGCUGGAACCGCAGAUGCGAAGUCACACGGCACGUGGGCGCCACGGCGGGACCUGAACCCACGCCUGGCAGGCGGACCCAGGUUCAGUUGCCACAAAGCAUCGGCUUCCCUCAGCCGCAGGUCUGCGUCUGAGUCAGGGGGACCCUCGGGGAAGCGACUCCAAGGCGAAUGUCACUGAGACGGCACGUGUGAGCAGGGGACACGAGGGACAAUCAGAGCUCCGACGGCAGACCCACGGGCAGCUGUCGGGAGCCCCGGGCGAGGACAUCCGGCCCACCCCGGGGGGAACUGCAUCGAGGGCGCUUCCACGGAGGGGCGGCAUCGGAGCUGAGGCCUGAAGGUUGAAGAGCCGGCCGGGUACGGAGGGGAAGGAAGAGCGUUUGGGGAGAAGGAACGGCGUAUGCAGACGUCUAGAGAGGAGGGAAUGCGAUCCGGUGACAGGGAAGCAACUUGCCUCAAGUCGGCUCAAGGGAGAAGCCGUCCGGCCAGCCCUUGAACCCUGAUCUGUCUGAGUCCGGAAUCUAUCCCGUUGCCCUUUCCAGGAAGGUGUGAAGGCCUUUCUGUGGGCAGAAGUGCCCCUUCGCUCCUAGCACACAGACCCCCGUAGGCAAUGCAGCUGCCAUGACAGGCAUCACCAAUCAACGACAGACCUCUUUCCCCAGGAGACAGAAUCCAGGCAUCACUAAUGGACUGCCGCAUCUCUUUCCACUGCAGAACCGGGACGCAGGCUCAGAACCUCUCUCCACACAGCCCCCGAGCAGCAACUUCCCAUCAGUGAGCAGGUGUGCAGUUGGAGUUGUGGGGUAAACACAGGCUGACUCCUCUUUCCAGGAAACAUGGCUCCUUCCUUCGUCUUCCAGACUGACAAAUUUUUAGGUCACAAAAUGCAUUCCUUUCCCUGUUUAAAAAAAAAAAAAAAAAUCCCUUCAGUUUCUUUUCAUUACCCCGAGGAUGAAAUCUAAACUCCCGGUCCUACUUUUGUCCUUGCUGUCCUCUGUGCCCACCAUGGCAUCUCUUAGCUCUUGAGAGAGCUCUCCCGCCCCCAGCCACCCUGGCUAGAGUCUCCCCGACACCUCCAAUUCCAUCGUGUCUCUGAGCUUUUCAUUCCUUCUUUGUGCUUUGCUUUGCUUGUCCCUCCCGCAAGGCAGGGCGUGGUCGGCAGUGUCUGGGAGGCUCUCUCUAAACUCCCGGAGCAAAUAAUCCCAUUGGCUCAGCCUGGGCCCCUGGUCCAAUCUGUUGAGACAGGAGGGUGGGGGUCACACGGUGGGCAAG